CAGCCGCCGCGGGAAUACGUAGGUGGCAAGCGUUGUCCGGAAUUAUUGGGCGUAAAGCGCGCGCAGGCGGAUAGGUCAGUCUGUCUUAAAAGUUCGGGGCUUAACCCCGUGAUGGGAUGGAAACUGCCAAUCUAGAGUAUCGGAGAGGAAAGUGGAAUUCCUAGUGUAGCGGUGAAAUGCGUAGAUAUUAGGAAGAACACCAGUGGCGAAGGCGACUUUCUGGACGAAGACUGACGCUGAGGCGCGAAAGCCAGGGGAGCGAACGGGAUUAGAUACCCCCGUAGUCCCUGUCUCUUAUACA
rnacentral:rRNA from 1 species